UCGUAAUCUUCUACGGAUUAUUACGAUGCUUCGAUCUCACCUGUUCUAUGGUCACUGCUUUCUUCGAUUGAAUAGGCGUAGAAACAAAUUUAAGAUCUUAUCUUGUUUUAAUCCUCCAUAAUCUCACAAUAAAAAAUUAACAAAACUCCAAAGAAAAAUCGCAAGAACAAUGUUGAACAAAAAAAAUAAAAAAUACAAAAUUUAUAGAAUGUGGAAGAGAUAAUAUGAAUAACUGUAAUUUGAUAGUUACC
rnacentral:lncRNA from 1 species